AGCGAACGCUGGCGGCAGGCCUAACACAUGCAAGUCGAACGGAUCCUUCGGGAUUAGUGGCGGACGGGUGAGUAACACGUGGGAACGUGCCCUUUGGUUCGGAACAACUCAGGGAAACUUGAGCUAAUACCGGAUGUGCCCUUCGGGGGAGAGAUUUAUCGCCAUGGGAGCGGCCCGCGUCUGAUUAGCUAGUUGGUGAGGUAAAGGCUCACCAAGGCGACGAUCAGUAGCUGGUCUGAGAGGAUGAUCUGCCACAUUGGGACUGAGACACGGCCCAAACUCCUACGGGAGGCAGCAGUGGGGAAUCUUGCGCAAUGGGCGAAAGCCUGACGCAGCCAUGCCGCGUGAAUGAUGAAGGUCUUAGGAUUGUAAAAUUCUUUCACCGGGGACGAUAAUGACGGUACCCGGAGAAGAAGCCCCGGCUAACUUCGUGCCAGCCGCCGCGGUAA
rnacentral:rRNA from 1 species